ensembl:lncRNA
CACACACACACACACACACACACACACACACACACACACACAGACCCUUGUCUCUCUACUAACUCUAUCUCACUUUCAUUCUAGCAGUCAUACUAUCGCUGUACCUAAAGUGUCCAUUAAUAGCUAUAGCUAUACUAAAGCUAUAGUAUUGGAUGCUGUCCAAUCGUCUGACACUGGAGCACGACUGAAUUGUAGACCGGAGCAGCACUGCACUCAUUCAAUGAGUGUGUGGUAAUAUUUUCCAAAAGAGAAGCUGGCUGCCAUCUAGAGAUUACAAGUUAGAGGCAUCAUAAACAAGGCCUCUCUUUGCGUAGAGAUGACGUUUUACGUGUGGAAAUUAUACCCUCUAUAGGAUAUAAAUGAGGAAAUGACCAGCACUAAUAACAUACAGGAUCUGUAUCUGUUUAUCAACUAAUGGGGGUAAUGAGAAGCACGUUGACAAAGGGAAACUAACGCAGCUUGAAUUCAAACUGGAAUGAACUUUCUGCAGGAAGACGAAGACGUUGCAGAUGUUUAACAAAGACAUUUACUACAAAUAUAUAUAGAACUAAUACAUAUACUAACAUGCAUGAUCCCCCAUGUGCCUCAGCAUCAAAUAUAACAUCACAUCAACACGAGCUGACUAAAUGAGACCAAAAAGGUUGUGGCUAUGAAUAAUACAUGCCACAGGAAUUUCAUCUUGAUGUAUUUCAAGUCCGGUUGAUGUUUGACUAGAGAGCUGCAUGCACUUUGCAUAGCCACUACCUGACAACAAUAUGGGGAAAACAACAAAGGGUGAUUAUUAUUAGGUUGUAAUUUAAAUUGCACCACAAGCAAUUAGCUGCACACUGAAAAAGCUUGAUAAUGCUUGCUAAACCUGAACAUUGUAUUAGAAUGUGAUUGCAAAAUGUGAUUAAAACAGUUUGAGAUUUUUCUUAUUAAUAGCAGAAUAAUCUUCUAAUAUACACGUCGUCUCCUUUGAUGUGCUGUGCCUUGUCACCUACCCACUCAAGAGUCCUUUAUUCCAUUUCAGAUGUCAUUGCCAAUGCAUGUUAUUCCAGGGCAAUUUGAACGGCCGACUAUUAUGCAGAUAACCACAGAAAGAAAAAGAUUUCUGAAGGAUGGAGGUACAGUAGAAAUUCCGUAAAGGGAAGGUCACCUCUAGCCGCAAGAAGAAAAUUUAUAUGUCCACAUACGGAGGGGACUUUCAGAAAAAUUGCAUGGACUUUGUUUUUCACAUUAAAUUUAAAAGAAAGGACAAGGACAACCAAAAAAAUUACAAAAAUUCUAUAUUGAAAUAAAUGGCACACUGGCAUGAAAACAUAUUCAGAAAACACUCCCCAAUAAUAGAGUUUGCGUUUGAAUCUCAAACUGUGACUUUUUCUACAGUUUUAUAUUGCAACAAAUCUUCAGCCACAAUAUAAUAACUGUUCACAUCAUUGGGUUAUAAUGAUCUCCAGUAUUUCUUUGCAUUUACAUAACUCUUAGCAGAGGCUGCCCAGGGAACAACGGCUAAUAAUGAGAGAAGCCGUGUGGCGCAGUCACAAUGUGUAUGUGAUAGGAAGAAAUGCAAGCUGCAAAUACAAUAUUAUAAAUGAUAUACAGUCAGUACUCUACAUAUUUCCUUUGCAACCACACUUUAAAACUUUAAAACACAUGUUUUGAUUUUAGGCUGCUGCUCUCACCUGAAUCGAACAUUGCAAGACGUUAAUGAUCAUUUAUCUACUUUUCUGCUAUUGUUCGGCUAUUUGCAUUGAUGCUCUUACUAAAAAUGACUCAAAUACUCAAGUUUUAAAAGAAGUACUCUGUCUUGUUUCACUCUAUAACAAAAUUAGCUUCUUCAUGAUGAUAGUGUUUCUGCUUUUGUUAAAUUUUGCUUUUUAGCAAAGCAAUACCUAGUUAUGUUAGGAAUGCUAAUAAUUUCUUCUCUCGAUGAAUGAAAGAAAUGCCACUCUAUGCUGCAGGUGCAUAUGUAGGGCACACUGUAAAACAAACACGUCUUUUAGUACUCUCAGGGUGAGCUGCACAGCGGGGAAGAGUAGCGCGUCAAGGAGGAUCACUGUUCAGGAGUUAUGAGUUGAAUAUUGUGACAUAUCAAUAGGACUUUUUCUUUUCAAGUGCGCACUGUAGGGAAGAAUCUAAAAGUUUUUCUGCUUCUCACUAAUGAGUUUUAACUUGUCUCUUUAUUUCCUCAUGAGUAAAGAUAUUGCAUUCCAAAAAAAACGUAGGGUGGAAAGACAAAACGUAAUAUAUCGGUUCUAGUUUAUAGGGGAAAAAUGUUUACAUCAGAAGAAAAUUACACCGGCAAAAAUGUCAUGUGUGUGUGGCUGCUUUAGAGUCAAUGUUCUGUACCUGCAUGUUGCCGUCUCUCUCCUGGGUCCCAUCUCAAUGAUCCAAUAACAAGCCAUCUGUCAUUGUCAUUGUAAUUAAUCUGGCGCUAUUUAGUGGAUAAUGAGAUGCUGUCAUGGGUUUUGUGCAGCUUUACUUCCCAGAGACUUGUUUCCUGUCUCCGUCAGAGCAAGGAGAAGAAGGAGGAAGUGGGAGGGAAAGGAUGCCACGUAGCCGCGCUGCAGCGUUGUGGCUGCUGUUGGUGUCAGUGAACAGAUGGUGGGGAGAUUUAUUCGCCAACGUUCACCUGCUCGGAGAACGCACCCUUAUGACACGAGUGCUUAAAGCAGUGCUCAAAGUAAUCAACAACAAAGGGGGUUUGUGUCCGCCAAGUCAUACACGUAUUUGUCUCCCAUGCAGGACGUGCUAGAUGGGAAAUGAUUAUGUCAGCGGUGGCGAUGGUUUCAGUCGAUUUUUUGGGAGGCAUACAAUGCAGCUCAAGUAUGGUUGUGGUGAGUGUUCUAUAUUUAUCAGAUUAUUUAUGGGAAAGCUGUCAAUUCUACUGAAGAUAAUCUAAGUACCAGCCAGCUCUCAGAAAUCAGAAUCCUCUGCAAUCACACGUGAAAAUUAAUCGCUCGAUUAGAAGGGCGGCUCCUGCUCGAGAUAGAAAUUGGCCUGCCACAUGUAAUAUCUCAUGCUAAUGCUUUUUUUUCCUCAACCUUAGGAUAAUUUGCUUCCUCUGCAAUAUAUAUAAUGGAAUUGUAUAACUGGGCAGAUAAAUACAUUUUGACAGGGACAGACAGUGUGAGGGCCUGUGAGGUUUUACACAUAACAUGAAUAUAGGUGAUCUUCAAUCAUUCACCGGGAGUUUUAUGCCUUACCUGUCUCAGGCUUUAUUAGCAUAUCUCAGGUUUUACAGCACUUUACGACAGAAUGAAUUGAUCACACCUACCAAAUAUAUAAGACAGAGCAGUGAAGGCAGAUGAGUAAUUUGAUGGAUGUAAGAAUCAUGCCUUUUACCUUGCACGGAUUCCCUUCUAUUAAAAAACCUAAUAUAAAAUUGAUCGACGCUGUCAUAGGAAUAGAGCGAUGUAAUGACCCAGACAGAGCUGGGAAAACAGAGUGAUGAAUUGAAAGCCUGAGUUUUGACAGUCAGAAGAAUGAAGUUAUUGAACACAAUUUUUUCUUUACAUUGACCACCAGCAUCACUUUCCUUUUCAAUCAUGCUCGCUACUGACAGCCGCCCACAAGUUCUGUGACCCAACUCCAAAGACACAAAGGGAACGAAAUAAAUGUUCUUGGUCAGCAGCCCCAGUGGUCUCUUCAUUUUCAACUUGUUGACCGCCAAGUGUUUUAUUUGUUACCCAAAUUAUUUCAGUGAUAAAUUUCAGCGUUUUCAUCAUAAACACGACAUCCCCCGAAUCUCAUCCACUUGGUCUUCGCCAACAGUCAGGCCAACUAAACAUCUCUCCAGCCAGCAGGCAUUUCACACCCACCGAUAAUGUAACACACACACGCGUACACAAGCUCAAAAAACACACACACGUUUGGGGGGGAAAAAAUGAAACAGUUGGUGAUCACUCCACCGACCAUUGAUCAUCCAAAGUCAUUCAAAGCAUGAACAAACACCUAUUCAAACCUUUGAGCUGAACUCAAUUAUACCAUUACGACUCAUUAUUUCUAGAUUAUAGUGUUCAGAGAAUCAUUACUGACUCGAUGUGGCUUAAUGAGAGUUUUGGGUGAUGAUUUGCAGUCAGUAAAGACUGUGAUCAAAAGAAGACUACGCAUGUUGUCAUUUAAUUGCUUUAAGAAAUGUAUUUUAUUAAAAAGGGCUCAUGUACAGUUCAAACACAAAUGUCACCAUUUGAUGCACUGCACCAGAUUAUAGCUGUAGCUGAAUUGCAUACGUAGUGCCUAAUAAAAUAAUAAAAGCCUGCCGGAGGCUUACUGAUGUGAAAAAGCGCUCUUGACAAGAUUGACUAAAAAACUAUCCAUAAUAGCUAAAAAAAAUAACAACUCAGCUGGACAAUCCUGCUCAUGGGAAAAUGAGCCUGUGGUCUGCAGCAGAUGAGAGCUGAUACAGGAUGACAGAGACAGUGAUUUGACGGUUCUAACGGUUUGUUAAAUAGACUGUGUGCAUUGCGUUUUCCUCGCAUUGGCAGCUAGCUGAUGUCUGGGCACAUUAAUCAGAGCUUCAUUACUGCAGUGGAGUUAUGAGCUACAGCAGGGUUGGAGAUGAGGACCACCGGGACCUGUUCAGACCUGCUGCUACCAUCUUGUACGAUGGUGGAGUGCUGCUGUUACAAAUAGCAUUCUUUGACGCUAUGUAUGUCUGACUCCUGACAUCCCUCUUGUCACAAUGCACAUGCACACACACUGUCACUUUCUGUUCGCUGGUGCACUUGUAUUUAAACUUCAGAUCAGACUCCCUGCUCAUUGUUCAUUGGGACUUCAACAGGGCAAACCUCAGCCAUGAACUGAAUACUCAAAAAUAAUAUUCUGACAUAUACUGGGCGUAUACAAGGCGACGAUGCAACAUGUGUAAAGGGGAUUACAGGAUUAAUGUAAAAUGCAUCUUUACUGUAUUCAUAGCGUUUUCCCCAAGAACAGCCUUUAUGGACAAAAUGAAUGAAGGUCAAUCAUCUUAAUUAACAUUCCAUAAAAUAUUUGCAACACCCUCCGCUGUAACAGGAGUCUACUAUAAUACCGCCAAUUCAGCAAGUGAAGGUAUUAUUCCCAUUACUAUUUCUGUCAACAUUAAUGCGCAUCACUAACUUUGUUUCUUCCACAGAGUAUUUGUGCUUUGUCGCCAACUGCUUGCUUCUUUCCUGAAGUCUUUGUGCUUUCCCUCCCCACAGGUUUACUUGGAUGGUAGGAUGUUGCAUGUGUACAGACUGUAAAGCCCUCUGAGGGAAAUUAGUAGUUUACGAUUUUGGGUUAUACAAAAUAAAAUUAAUUGAAAGGUAAUGUGGUUUGGGUGAAAAACAUUUUUUUAAUAUCUAACCAGACCGUAAAAGCAGAGGACAGGGGUUUAGAGAACUGCCACCAAUACUACAGGAUGUAAUCCAUUUCUUUCCACAUCCAUCACAGUUACUCGUGUUUUCAUGAGACGAGAUGCAUGAAGUGAUGUGUUACUUCAGCUAUAAAUAAAGACAGGGAAUUUAGACUAGAUUUAAAUCAAUAAUCUGUUGUGCAACCGCUGUAAGGCUGUACUUAUAAUUGCAGUUGCAUGUUAACGGCAAUUAGCUCAACACAAGGGAAGAGAUAACGUACUGAUGUCCAUUUUAGACACGGUCACACACACACACACACACACACACACACACACACACACACACACACACACACAACCUUCCCUUCUCAGUGAUUUUACAUAUCUUCAUCUCACAUCCUGAAGCCCCUUCAGCCUCCUGCUACAUCUGUUUGGCCGAAUCGUCCUGUCUCAAUUGGAUUAACUUGUGUGAUUGUGGGAGAGGACGAUAAGAUGAAAAUGAACAGACAAUUUUCUGCUACUUGAGAUCUGUGCUGCUUGUGUCCCAACAUGUACUCUUUCCCUUCUCUUCUCAGAAAGGCUUCCUUAACUUUGCCAGAUUUUAUUCCUGUAGAACCGUAUAAACGGUAGACUUCAAUGAGUCUACAUAAAAAAAGGACCAAAUUGUGGCGGAAGAUUUUGCACAGACAAUCGUUAAGUAAGAAACAAAGGCUCUGAGUCAAGUAUGUCUUUUCUCCGUUUAUUUCCUUGCAAGGGAAAAAGGGUCACAACAGCUACGUGGUCAGUAGACUGUCAAGAACCUCCUUUUCUUCCCAACUUUUGAGGAGCUCUGGAAUUUAGGAGGUUAAUUUCUGUUUGGCUUUUCCAAGUACAAUUCUUCAUGCUAUUCAAUCCGAUUAGUCAUUCCAAUAUUCAGCAAUUGUCUUCACCUAAUCGUGAGUAUACAUUGAUCAAUCAUUGAGAGCAUUAAACAUAUAAGGAAAUUGACAUGAUCUAUUUGCAUUGUACAACUCUAUUAAUUUGUAUCAAUAAUUAAAUAAACAUGUAAAUGAUCUAACACUAAACCACAUUCAUGCAGACAAACCUCAUCUCAUUAUUGUUACAAAAGAAAAGCCCUCAAUUGUUUAAAUGAAGUAAAAACAAAAAACGUCUUGUCCUGAUCUGUUGACAACAGGUCUUAGAAUUUGAGAAUACCCAAACAGUCAUUUGAAGUCGUAUGCAGUCUUGUUGUGUCCUUCCUGUUGUAUAAAAAACUACACAUGGGGGGUUCAGAAUUUCUAUUCUUAAUGGUGUUCAACAAGGAUGGAGGGUGGGAAAAAAAGUAUGUCAAACUGAACAGAAGCCAAGUUCUAUAGUUAUUAAAAUGCACAAUUCAAGAGCUUAUCGGUCGGUCACAAAAAUAACUUUGUACUUUUCAUUUUAGGGUUGCUGUGUCAAAAACACAGUAAAUAAUUAUUCUAAUUAUGUCUAAUAUAGAGUAAAUUACAACUCUGGGCACACUUGAGUAAGUGUGCAGACAUGUAUGAUUUAACAAUUUUACAUACAUUAGAAUUUCCAAAGUAAAGACAUAUUUCUAUAAAUCUUAACAUUGAAUAAUUGUACUUAAAAAACGUAAAAUCGUUAUAGAUACCAAAAUCAGCACGUAGGCGUCACGACAGAAUCAAAUUAGGAGAAGUGCUUAUUGUCCAUCCCCGAGAACGAGCGGCACAAUGUGUGAUACCUAAUAUUUGAUGUGCAUUAAAUGUACACACUAACACGUAGAGGGAACGAGUUGGAUCACUGGCAGAUCACAAUAACUAAUAUUUACUGUGUUCAAGAGGACCGAGCAUUUGCUCUCAUUUCCACAUUCAAAUCCCGGUUGUUUUAUGCAAAUCAACCUGCUUCUGAAAACUCUUUAUUAAAGGAGCAACCAAGAAGUACCGACUUGCAUUCCCAUUGGAAGAUAAGGCCCUUCUCUGUGGAUUUAGGAGGAAAUGUCAGCUGGACUCAUUUGGGUGAUGGCGGCGCGGUGGAGAGGCCAUUAAACAGUAAAACGGCUCCCUUUAUUUGGAGGCUGAUAGAUGUGGCAGUCAUCUUCAUUCACAGCAUUCCUUGUGAAAUGGAACAAAUCUUUACAUUUCUCAUUCCUUCUUUCUCACCCUGUGAACACUUAUGCAGCCUAUUGUGGAACAGAAGAAGCCUCUCCAGACUCGUGUAAUUAAUAACAAUGGUAUAAUCAAGUUAAGGACCGUUUUCCGCUUCUUCUUUUUUUUGCAGUGUAGCGAUGAUUCUGCCCUAAUGAGUUUGCUCUAUUAGCUGCACAAGAAACCCCACUGCCUCAGUUCCUUCUCACAACCCAGGAAACUUUAGAUAAAAAAAUCCGUCAGGGGGUUUGAAUGACGCAGGAGUGAGUGACGGAUGAGGGACUUAAGUAAUUAAGGUAAGACCACAGCAGGGAACAUCACACCGGAUGAAGGCGAGGGAUAGAGGAAUGUCACAAAAAGACAAAAUAGAAAAGGGCCACAGGCUCCUACAAAAUCUAAAGAAGCAAAAUGUUUGAAUGCAGUAAAAACAGUGCAUUGUAAAAAUUGUUUCUCACUAAACCACCCGAUAUCAUUCCUCUCCCGAUUUCCCUUUGUUAUUUCGGCUCUAUUAUUUUGGUGUUUGUAUGGAGUCUCACAAGGGUCCAAUCUCUAACCUCUUUUGUCUCCGCUAUCAGCAAACACAAAACCAGUUAUUGGUUAUGUGUAGAAGAUACGCUGCUUUAAAUCUGACUAUGAACCGAUAACAUGAGCACUUUAGAGUGAUUGUUUAGCUUGAACAACAUUUAUAUCUCAGAGGUAAGAGGUCUAGGACACCAGGAUCCCUGACGCUAUUUCUUAUCGACUCACUUUUUUUUUCUAAAAGUAGAUCUUGAUUAGCUAAACACUUUUUGUCUACAGUGGAAGUAACGAUCACGGAUAUCGCACAAUCCCUUACUUUCCUCUCAUAUUCUAGGUAGCAAAGGGAUCAGAGUUAGCAGGGACAUUUGUCUCCCCAUUAACUUAUUGCUUUCUUCCUCGGGAACCCAAAGGCAUCCCGCGGGUGAACUUUGUUUUCCACCUCAGUUCCCUCUCGAUUAGAACAGUCUGGUAAACUCCCCGACCGUACUGGGCUGCAAAACCGCCCCGGUGCCGGCUGGAGGUCAAGGAGAGAUGAAUCUGACAGAACCACAUUAUCUCGGGGACUCGGGGAUCCAAAACACCACCCUGAACGUUGGAAACACCCACUUGAAAUCAGUUUGCCGAACAUCCCGUUUGGGUUCAUGAGGUCUGUCUUAUUCUACUCACCUGGAGCAGAAGAUGAGUAUUAUAUCAUUCAAAAAAAUAAAUAGUGGUACAUAAAAACAUUUUAAAACACAUCUGUGUUGAAGGUUCUCUUACUGGCUAUUCAGUCCAAUUUGGACCACGUUUGCGUCUGUGUGUUCUUGCAUUGACGAGUUAUUCACUUCCUACAGCUCUCAAUUGAAUGUGACAAUGACAGACUUCUGUCCUUGUGAUUUUUUUUCGUGGCCAAAGAAAACACACACACAUAAUGUAUUAUAAUGGCCGAGGCCAAGUUGAGAAAGGAUAAUAUAAAGAUCACAGUCGUGACUAAAGAGCUUGCUUCAUCACACCUACACGGAUCCUUUAACCCCCCUCCCUCUUAGAAUACAGUGUGAUACAAAACCUGUAUUAUUAUUAUUUAAGGUUUAGUUUUAGCGUUCGGUGCUAAUGGGCUCUGCCAAUGUUUCUUGCUAUUCAUAAUUACAAGGGAAGCAAUACAAGUAAAUAAACUACAACCACAUUCAACACAAGGACAAUCGGGGUCAAAUCUUAACAGGAGAGGACCAAGAUGUCUGAGCCGAGACAGUCCUAAGCAAACACAUGUGUUCUCUUACAGCUGCUUGUAAUUAAAGGAACCGUCACGUUCCAUUGAGCAGAUUGCUUCCCUCCAGUCAGCCUCACAAGGACCAACCAACUGUGCAUAAGGGAAGAUUAACUUUUAUCCGGCGAAGUACCCUGCACACUUAUCUUGUGUAGAGAGUGCAGGGAAAGCAAAGUAGAGAUGUUGGGAGAAAGAGUUGCGGGACGACCAGGUAAACGAGAGAGAGAUGCGACUGGGAAAAGGAUGUGAUGAAGUAAGGCUGGGAAAAGAAGUCAGAUCCUAAAAGCUAAAAGGAGGAGAUUGAGAAAAGGUAGGGGAAUAGAGGGAAAUCCCAGGUCCAGAAGGUAAAGAGGUGGAAGAGGAAGACUGGAGAGACAUUCAGCUCUCUGUUUUUGAAUAUGAACAAAGCACCUGGAAUAAUCAGUCAUGGUGCCACAGUCUGUUCCGCUUUGCCCUUUACUAGCAUUGCACUCGCUUGCAGGCUAAAAGAUCCAGCGGAGUGUGACCAAUGAGGAAGACCAUCCACAAGUCUGACCCAGAUGUGCAUUAGACAGAUGAACAUUACGUUAAUGAUUUAACACUUGUUGAAAUAGUUGUAUAUCUUUGGAAUGUGAUGUGUAUGCUAGGACAUCUCUGCAGCACAACAUUUAAUGUAAAUUAUAUUCCACCUCCUAACUAAUGCAACUUCCGUAAUUACAGUAAGCCAAAAUACUAGUUCGAAUAAAAAUAAAAAUUGUUUAGCUCUAACAUCUACAGUAUGAUCAUUUAAUGUUAUCUUAUUAUUUUUUUGAGCCCUCUUAUUGGUCAAUGACCAACUCCUGCCCCCGUAAAGUUAAUAUUAAGAUGUAUCAUUGAUCUAAUUAAAGUAAGAGAGUAUACAGCAAUUACAAAAAUUUGAAAUUACCAAAACAUUGUACAAGGAUCCAAUAAUUAUAAUACAUAUUCUCAAUCAAAGAUAAUACAGAAGGGAGAAGGAGCAGUAUUUGGAUUUUUGCUCCAUCCAUCUGUCAAAUUUGCCAGUUAGCAUUUUUUUUUUGUCAAAUUUACACAGCAAUGGACGGUUGUUUUACAUCGCGCACACACACAACAGCAGAGACAGGGUCUCACUCACACACACACACACACACACACACACACACACACACACACACACACACGAUAAGCCCAGUUAGAAACACCUUAAUGACUUCCAGUUAGAAAAACCCACUUUUAUCCAAGGACGAUAGUGAGAUAUUUAUGCACUACGGUGCCCAUGAUUUAGAAAGUGGUUACAUUAGUUUCAAUAAUAAGAACACAAUUAACGUAAAUGAGCUAAAUGAAUCAUGUUAGCAGGGCUCACUGGUGGUGAUUAACUGACGAGAGCCAUUAACAAAGACUGAGCGACAAAAGCUCAGCCUCAAACUAGCAUGCUGUGCCUGUUGACACGUAGAACAAAGCAUGCAAGCAAGGUGCGCCGCGUAGCAUCAUGCUGGUCAUUUCUCAUUUUAUUUGGUGUGAAUUUGAGCUCUAUGUUUUCCUCUGUGCUUUGAUGGAUGUAAAGAGUCUGUGUAAUAAUGAGUCUCAAAAGGAUCUACCCAAAGCAACAGCCUGCUUAAGGGAAAGACUGCUGGCAGAUGUUUGAAAUCACUGCUGCCCAACUUCAGCAAUAAGAACCACGUUUGCAUCAAACUAAUUGCCUUUCAUGCACAAUCCAUCCCGAUGAAAUCUCGCCCACGGCAGAUACGAUUUUAACAUUUUUCGCUAGUGUCAAUAUGAACAUCAUCAAGCUCACACACAUACACAUAAGUAUGCAUAGAAAAGCAUUGCGGUGGGAGGAAUUGUUGAAUUUCCAAGGCCCCCCCACUCGCUCUUGAGUUUCUUUAUCAAUCGUGCACAGCUCUCCCAGGGCUCUGUAAUUUCCAAAUAAAUAACUCAUUAGUGGCUGCGGCAUGAGGAUUAAUCAGCGGCGACUGCGGCUGCUCCUGCAUCUCCGCAGGAGUGUCCCGAGCCUCCCACCACAUUCACAUCAAGCCCCAUCAGGCGACGCUGAAUGGCAGCAAUGACUGUGGUGGAUCAGGAGUAGCAGCGUCAAACCGCUACGUCAUGCCAACAUCACUAAAUUUAAAAGAAACAAGGCUUGUUGAGAAUAGAGAGGGGGAGUUAAUCAACUCACAGAUGGGUCCCGUUAUCAAAUUAUCUGUUUAAACAUGAACAUUUCCCAAUGCAACCCGUGAAAACGUUUUCAUCAUCUUUCUCUCACAUCCAAACAUGCCCUUUGAUGCAUUUCUUCAAUUAUCGAGAGACAGCAAGUCCUCGUCUUUAGUCUUGUAGCUAUUACAGAAGAACAGGAAAAUCUUUUUUUCUCAGUCUAAAAAUAUCUCGUCCUCCAUGAUCCUUGUAUUUUAAAGUUGAUAUUAAAAACAAUAUAUUCUGCAGAACUGUCUCUUCUGGUAAGAUAUCAUAUGAAAUAAUACAACAAUAACUCCUGGAUCCGUGGUGAAGCCCUACUCAAAUAUGCACUCGGCAUGUCAAAUGAUGCAAGCCGCGCUCCGGUGGCACUGUGCUUCGGACUUAAGGCUUUAGUUUGUGACAGUUUUGCCUGAGAAUUUAAACAGUCGAACAGAAAAACUUUGCAUGAGAAUAAGCUCUAGUUUGAGGAUUAUGUUUUUGGAUAACAUUGUGAGCGCUUCAGUCUAUACCGUUUGCAAUCCCUGCAAAAUUCAAAAUUCCAGCUAUAAACUGAGAUUUCAUCUCCAACAUUUGAAGGAUAUCCUAAGAUUACUUAAACAAACAACUUAAACAACACAUGGCAUAGAACCAGUGAAUAGAGACAGACGCACAUGUCGGGCAGUUCAACUCUACGUAUCAAUAAAAAAUGGGAAAGCGUUUAACAAAGUGCUCUUGAAGAGUUCCACUUGGGAUUUUUUCGUUGUUAGUAUGCAAACUCAACACUCCCGGUUACCUCCCAGGAAAGGCCAAUAACUACGGCUGUUGAUGGAAUUUUUCCAUCCAAAGUGCUGAGUGAUAGUCACUGGGGGCUGAUGUUAAGGUUAGAGUGUCCCUACAUUUGGGAUAUAACAUAAUUUAACAUAAAAUAAUUUAUUAACUGUUAAUUAAGCAUUCUCGGUGCAGUGACAACAUGGCUGUUUUGACCAUUAUUCCAUCAACCUACUGGAUUUGUGUGAUAAAGUCUGGUGGAAGAGACAAUGAGAGGAAAUGGAAGAGAAAUUAGGAGGUGCAUUAGUGCACACAAACACCGAAACACUCUGCUCCUAUAUAUCUAUUAUGCUCCCUGUAUUCACCAGUAGGAUUGUUAACAGUCCGAGCCCUUAAAUAGAUCAUUACAAUGUGUAUCAGCCACUAUCAGGCUUCCAUUUUCUUUCGCUCUCGCCAAGUUCAGCGUUCUGCUGCCCUCCCUGUCUUUAUUGCCCCCCACUCUCAUCAUCUGUAAUCCUCUCCCUCUCGCUGCCUUGUUCUCAUUCUGUUUCUCCUUUGUGCCCAUGGAGACCUCAGUGUCAAAUAUUAGGGGAGGAAAAGAGGGAAGAACAACAGUGAGAGAACAUCUAAUUACUCUUGUGAGCUUAUGCCAGGCACGCCGGGUGAAUCCUAAACUCAGUUCCAAAGCACUAUUGUCAUUCUAAAACCAGACAGCAGCCAUAAAUGGGGUGAAAAUGACACGUGAAAAGAAAGGAAGUGGUGGAUGAGGAGCAACUCGGAGAGGAAGGGCUGUGGGGGCAAGAAGGAAGGCGGAGAAAGGGAGGAAGUUGGGGUGGGGGGAAUGACUGCAGAGGACAACGCAGGAAGCUCAUGUGGGGUACGAGAGCACUAGCCUGGCGAAAAAAGAUGAGCAAUUUCACUUAUCGUCUGGAACACACUCGACGCGGUGCGUUAGUGAAAGUCUGCUCUGCUUUACUUGACAGCGGCACUAAGUUGUUUUUUUUCCCCACAGGGCAAUCAUACUUUCUCCGUGGUCAACCUCGUCCUUUUAACUCACAGAAUGAUUCUGCACACAAACGCACAACCGCCGCACUUCACCUCAACCCGCUUACACAAAGACACUGCACACGCAAAACCCUCCUCCGUAUGUCGUCAGUGGGACUCUGGCUACAUUGUCCAAUUAAAGCGAUGCCCCCACAUGGUCGGGCGCUUUGCCCUUGACUGCUGAGCCAACAGGGCUCCGUGUUCUUGAUACGCACACAUUUCUGUUUGUCUAAUUGGGAGAAAAAAUAUUGGUUAAACUUAAGAUUCAUUGUGUAGAUCCAGGACGAUUCCACAUUCAGAGAGCAGAAGCCAGCCAGGGAUCUAUCCACCGACCUUGUGGUUCAAGGGCGAUUCACUACACGUAAUGUGUAAGGGUUUUUAUGGUGUUGAUGAGAAGGCUCCAUUGCACACAUGAGGCCUGCGCUUUGCUCCGUGCAGCACAAAGCUGCCGUGACAGCGGAGAGGCCAUCGGAAAGAAAGCUGCAUUGGGUUUGAAAGGGCCCAAACUUGUGUUUAAUGGGUCCUAAGUGAUUCUUGACGUUAGAUAUACAAAAACAGGCCAGUAAAUUUCAAAGAUUUAAUAGAAUGGGCUCCAAAAACACAAAGAGAAGCGAUUGUGACGUAAGAGCAAACAUUGCUAAAAGUAGUUUUUCACAACCGUUUACCCCUUUUGGUCCAAAACCCAAUCCGUUAUAACAGCAGAAAAUCCAUAUAUGCACAUUGAUCAACAACAAAGUGGGAACUGGACCAAUAACUAGAAGUAAUUGUAAUUGAUCAACUGGCAACAGAACCAAGUUAGAAUCACCACUGGAAGCCAAAUGACUAUGUGCACUCUGCAGCAUUACAUUGGUCACAUAGUGUAUUUAUAUACUGCGAGUAGCGUUGGAAUUUAAUAGUUUUGUAGUCAUGCACAUUUCAUUUUUUUGCUGGUGUAAAUAGCAAAAACCUUAUAAAAAGUCCAUGGACUAAAUUUGAAUGCUAAAAUAACUUUUUAAAUCCUAUAACUGAAAUGUCAAAAGAAUAUCUUUUUUCCAUCCGCAUACAUCAUUGAUUACUUUUGUGGCGUUUCAGUUUUUUAGUAAAGGAGCCAUUUCCAAAUAGCAUUUGGCAUCUCCCUUCAAAACGCUCAUCAAAUAUGUAUCAAAAUUGAUUGAUUUCAUUCCACAGCUUCUACAAAAGUCUCUCAACAAUUGCUUACAUCCGCGUCAGCCACACUAAGGUACCGUGCUCUCAUCCACUGACAGACACUCCUGAAAUGGCAUUUCUUUGUAUGAGUGAGUGUGUCUUCUUGGAACCGACAUGUAGCCAGAUGCAAUUGGGAUCCAAUAGAAUGUAAAUAGCUGAUCCACACUGAACUGUAUAGACACCAGUUCUUUGACAUCUAGCAAAAAGUUGUGUUCAAGGGGCAAUGAGGCAUUGCGCAUACUUCAUUAACAACCUUUAUUGUCUCACUAUUUGACGAGAAUGCAUUGAUACAUCAUACGGCAACGUUCCUCAGGACUUUAAGCAGAAAUUGUUUAAAUAUGUCGAUGGUGCCAAUGACAGUAACCAAUAGCAAACAAAUACAAUAUAUACACAAUACAAGUUGGAUUUAAGUCAACAGGUCACAUGGUCCAUGAGGACAUGUCAUUGUGGUCAAGACCUCAUUUUUAUCUUUUUAAUUAGGGAUUCCUUAGAAAAUUUAUCCAUCCACUCAGCUCUCUUAAAAUUGGACAACCUGACAUUGCUCACCCACACAUUACCUGGUGUGAUUCACCCCUCAGAGUAGUCAUUAUCUGUGUGUGAGUGUGCGCGCACCUGUGUGUGUGUGUGUGUAUUUUGGGCUGGCAGGACACAUCAUUGUGGGCUGCUGCAAAAGAGAUCCUGUCAGGCCUAAUUUACUAAACCGGUCGGGACCAAUCAUACCGUAACACUGAGGUGAUGCUGCAUGCAUUGUGUGGGAACUGGACGUACUCACAGUGAUUCAUAGUGGAAGACGCAUACUAGUGAGAUAUUAAAUCCUUCUCUGAAAAACUAAACCUUUACAAGGAUGUGCAAUUUUUCAACAAAAACUGUUUUAUCCUGUAUUGCUUAAUGCAAGGCAAGGUUUAACAUUUAAAUCUGAAUACACCAAUACCGUGAUUUCUUUAGGUGAAAAGGAGAAGGAAGCCUUAAAGACCAGCAGUAUUCAUUGUGCAUCACUUUGCUGUGUUAGUUUGUGAACAUAUUUCAACAAAUACAACUCCAAAUCAAAUCAUUAGUAAAAGAAAUCUUGAUCGUGUUUUGGUGGAUUACGUUAUAUGGAUAUGUUCUACUUAUUGACAAUGAGCACAUUACGUUAUAAAAUGCAACUCUUUAAUUAAUAACUAAAUCUAAAGCGAGCAUAGCUUUUACAUUUUUGCCCGGGGAGCAAUUAGGGGUUACGUGUCUUGCUCAGGGACACUUCGACAUGGGACAUGGAGCAUGGAGAACCACCAACCUUGCGGUUCCCGGUGCAUCCUCUCUACCCAUGCGCCACCGUCGAAUAAUGAUGCAUAUCCUAUAGCUCGAGUAGGAUAUCCUGUCCAAUUUGAAGUCAACAAUUACAUAGCUCGAUAAUUAUGAAGAGAAAGCAGAAAAAUGAUCAGUACUUUAUUGUGACAUUAGAUUUAUUAACUUUACUCAGGUUGGUUAUUUUUCAAUCAGUUCUUUUGCAUAAAUAAAUAAUUGCUUUUCGAUAUAUUCUUAAAAUAAAUAAUAUGGGUGCUUAUCACAAGUCUUUAAUGACUUGGCACCACUCAUUUUUAAAUACCUGGUUUAUAGUCAGUGUUGUGGGUUCACAUGCACAAACAUGCACUAACUGAACGUAUGACCCAGAUGCAUCAACAAAACAAGGAGACGCAUAAACAACACGCAGCGCAAGUGGGAUUCCUUUUUCUUCUCUGGUGGUCAUUGCUAUGUUCUAUCUUUACAUAGCAAAAAGUUGUUUUGCUGCUAUGUUGACGCUCCGAUUGCCACGUGUGUCUAAUUGAAUUUCGUUUCGAGCCAGCAGACAAGCGGAGUGCACCCGUGGACUUUUGUUGUUGACGAGAGAGCAAUGCGAGUGAAAACAUGGCUCAAUCUCAGCAGAGCCGUGAGCAUUGAUGUGGACGACGACCCUAUAACAGGUGUGAGAUGGGGCUAAAUGGAGAAAAAUGAUGUCCAGUCAGGCGCGCAGGACCUUGUCCCCAAGCAGUUGUUCAGCAGUUUGAUCUACAGCACAGGUCACCUUGUCCACCCACUUACAACCAAGCUGCAGCAAAACCCAACCUGAUUCACAAGCAUCAGGCGGAGGCAAGAUUAAUCAUUGGGUCAAUAUGAUGAGGCUGCCUUCUCUCACCUCUGUGCAGCAUCCUUAUAUCACGUAACCUUCCAUUCAGAACAAAUGCCGUUUUGAAACCAAAGCAUGAGUUAAUCCUGAGCUUUUACAAGCAAAAGAGAGGAAGCUCUGAACAAUAACACAUACAGUAUAGACACACUGGAGCUUGGUCAAGAAAUUGGCCAACAUUAGCUCAUUGAAGGUGUCUUGAGUUGCCAUAUGUAAUAAUUGGGCUACAGAAUAUAAAAUAUCAAAUAAUGAUAAACUUAAAAAUAAAUAUAUAGCUUCAGGAGAAACAGCAUCGUAACCGAAGGAUUAUAUUUGGCCUUUGAUGAUUUAUAAAAUACGGUUUUAAGAAGAUAGAUGUGAAUGCUCACACUGGUUUUAAAACAUUUCAUAAUUGAACGACAUGGCUAUAAAGCAGCCACGUAAAGUUUGUCAUGAACUAAAUUACAUCCAUAAACCUCUUGACAAUGUUUGAUUAUUUUUUAGGUCACACCUUGCUCAUGAGUUCCAACCAAGAGAAUUGGUCGUGUGCUUGGGAUGCUGCUGAGGAUUAACAUUGGAGUGGGAGCUGGACUCGUCAUCAGAUGUUUUGUGGCACAGAAUGAUAAAAACACAAUUAUCUGGUAAUGACUGGCUGAAACCACAAAAUAAAAGGAUCCAAUUAUUUGUGUUGCCAGUUCACUGCGGGGGAUUAGUAACUGACAGCUGGAUAUCUACUGGUCGGUGUGGUUCACUGGCCAGGAGAUGCAUUAGAUUUCAAAGAUAUGCGGAAUAAAAACCUUUCUGUGACAAAAGGCCAUUAUUUUAAUAAUGUGCUUCAAACCAACAACUUCCUAGAAUUCAAAUAAAUAUACAAUUGUAAACAACCUUUCACACACUUUAGACUAUGAGGUAGAACUUCCUUGUGAAGCGUUUUAAUGUCUUCUCUUACUGGUAUUCAUCUCUCAUUGGACCAAACUUUGUUCAAGAUGUUUCGCUAUAAAUGAGUUUCACAAUUGCUAUUUCUCCAGCUUUAUAAAGACUUUUAUCCUUAUUGCACUCGCACCAGAAUUAACCCCAUGAUGAUGUCACUGCACUGGAUGACAACUGAGGGCAGAUAGGAGCUUCUCUCCCUUUACCUUUAAUUACAGUUAAUCAUACCAUCGCUGCAGCAUUAUCACCGCAACAUUGUGUGGAGGGAUUUGACAUGCCUGUAAUGAGAUGUCAACAAAAAGGCAGACACAGAUAAUGGAUGUAUUCUCUGCCCAAGAAUGGUUUCAAAUGAAGUGCUAUCCUGAUUAAAGGCCACACUUCAGACAACCCAAUUAGCAUCCUCAUCUUCAUCAUCCUUUAAUUAUUUCGUUUGAGACGUUCAACGUAUUCAAUGAUAAUAAUAAUACCACAUUUAUUUUGUGUAGCACUUCUAGGGGGGGAUACUCAAAGGCACUUCACAUGGUGGAAACAGGAGCAGCAAUAACAUUAUGAACAAAUAAAUUAGAUGACAUCGUAAUAGUAAGGAACUAAACAAAGACAAACAUAAUCAGCAUCACGGGAUGAAAGCAGAUUGAAAAAGUUUUGAAAAAUGACAGGGAAUGUGUGAUG